AAAAUCCUUUGGUGAUAGGGAAGAGUUUGGAUAACCUUACUAAUCUAGAAAGACAUAAAAGAGGCAAGAAAAAGUAUUUACUAUUCUGCAACUUGUAGUCUUAAAGAAUUGCAUUGAGAAGUCAAGUAAAUAGCCCAAGGUCAUGUAGAUCUUGAGUUCAGGUUUUCCUUUAUGCUAUAUCACCAUCCCUAGAACACUGACAAUCCUCAUUAUACAAAAAAUUAAGUUGAUAAGAGAUAUUUCAUUAGAGCAUAGAAAAGAAUCUGAGUUAUAAAGUAACAUUAGAGAUUAUUUAGUUAGAAAUUAAAUGAGAAAUGAUAAUAUAGUUAAAUCACUAUGUCUGUGGUACAUAUGUUCAGAUGAGUGAAGCUAACUCUCUUCUAGUUUUACAUAAUUUCCCUGCCUGUUUCAGGAUUUCAAGGAACAUAAACAGAGCCCCCCUCAGCUGAUCUACAGGAUGAGUAAUGGUGUACACACAAAAUGUACAAAUACAUAUACCUACUGCAACCAGGGUCUCAGUGAACAGAAUAAAAGCUGCCUGGAGUUUCAAGCCAAUUCUGAGUGGUUUAAGGAUGUACUGAAUUCAGGAGAAAGUACUUUGUACAUUGAGAGUACAUAUGGCAAAGAGUUCCCUAAGUCCUUCUAUCAGAUGUUCCAAGAAAUUCAUGACAUUGCCACCAGUUGCUGUAAUUCCAGGGAGUGGAGAGAUAAUCAAAGAAUUCAUGGGAAGAUGGAAUUUCAAAAUUCUCUGAAUGUUGAAAGUUCACUUGGUCCUUCUCCAGCCAAGGGGGAAAGGGAGGACAUCUGAGAGCUGUAAGUAGCAAGUUUUGUGCCUAGGACAAGAGGAGGAAAGGCGUGCUCAGCUGUUGACAUCAGCAUAAGGUAGGAAGGAGGCUCUCUUG